UCUUAUAGAUGUGCAAAGAAAACGGUUUCUUGAGAUGAAAUCUAUUCCUGAUGAAGAUGUUAUGAA
rnacentral:pre_miRNA from 1 species